UGCUCCACGUUGUGCUCUUCCCUCUUUUCUCCUGUAUUCUUAUUUUUUUAAUAUAUUUUUAUUUUUUAGAAAUGGGCGCAAAGGCACACAUCACGGGAAGGUUAUAGACAGGUUGGCUGACUCAUCAUCCCAGAAUGGUGCGGCAACAUGGUACCUAUAUGAAAGAUCACAUCUGCAACUCCACUUGGGGGAAGUGGGUUGGCCAGUGUCUGUUCAGAAAUCCUUCGGACAAGGUUGAUCUUCGGCUCGCCUACUUCUUUAGAGAUAUUCAGGCGAUUUAGAAGUACAACAGGGUGGACCUGCUUAUGCCUAAUUUCUCCAAAUGAUGGAUCCCCUGGCCUGAGAUGACCUUAGUCUUUACGGAGCCUGUUUCAUCCUUUAGCUAUGGGUGCAUAAGCAUCUCAGCUUGCUUUGCCCUCCCCUAGCAGAUGUGGAACAUGAUAGUUUUCCUAGAAUAUGGGGAAAGGGAGAGAUUGUCUGUGGCCCUUUAUCUCUUUCUACCACAGGGAGAGAUGUAUUGAACCGGCUCACUGAGCUACUAAUCGGGAUGAGGCUAGGAGGCGCACUGGUCUCCGCAUCUUAUUCUAGGGUCCCAGUGGUGCAACAUGGUACCACGGGUAGAGGGUAGUGAGCCGGUUGGUUGAUUCUAAUGGCCCUACGGUUUCACUUUCCUCCUUCCAUGCAUACCCCUAAGAUCAUUUUUGAGGAGGACUUUCAGGCAGCCUUGACGGGGAUAUCGAGGGACAACUUUACAGACCUUAUGCUUGAUUAGAGAGUUUCUCUAGUGGGAGACAGUAUGUGUGCUUUUGACUACUGAAGGUCCCCAAUAUAAUGGGCCCACUCCCUUCCCUGGCUUCCAUGUUCCUAUGUCUAUGGGUACUUCCAUAGAGGACUAGCCUCAUAUAAGCACUAGACCGGUCCAUAACAUGGCUAAGGGGUCUUCAUCCAUUCCAAGCUUCCCUAGAUGGACGUAUACUGGUGCAAGUGAUCCUUCAACUUAGUGGAUGUUGCCAAGGACAACGAUGGUUGACGAGAGCAUGGGCCUCCCCAUUCCCUUUGAUUGUGUCCAUCCUAUCGUCUAUGCUGAGUGUCACCAGAUGAUCCAAAGGCUCAACACGUGUCUAUAGCACCACAGAGAGUAUAUUUGAAACCAGCCAAGGUUGGUGAGGGGAGUAAAGAAGAGGGAGAAGAGGGGAAGAAGAGGAGAAGGGAGAGGGAAGAAGAUCUACCCUUAGUUUCAGAAGCUGCGACCUACCUUUUCAUCGCCGAAAUAGUGUCCAAUAUCUUGGGAUCUACGUUUUGAGGUUUCGAGAAACUCAUCUUUCCAUACCGAAUAUUACCCAUACCGUGCGCGCAUACUAUUGUACGAAAAUAGUGAUAGUAUAGAAGAUUUAUAGCCAAGCCAAAAGAGCAAAAGUGAGAGUGAUCAACAUCAAUCGUCUUCAGCAUACUAAAUGAAAGGUACAAAUCAUCUAUGUUUUGAUUCAAACAUUUGUUUUAAUUUGAUAUCAUGUUCUAGUCAUCUGUAUGGGAACCGUUUAGGGUCUGAUGUGAAACCCCAAAUAAGAUCUAACAAUUGUUGCAUCAUAAAAUGCAUUUUGUCUAGACAAGGGCAUUAGAUCUAAGCAAGCAGGAGAGUCUCACAAAAAUUAAUGACAAUAGUUUAAGGACAAUACCUUAGGGCUAAUGAUGCACCAAAGAGCUGGUAAUAUUCUAUCUCAUGCUUAUUUCAAACAUCUGAAUAAUCAGAUGAGUUAUCUGAACAUUCAAGAUAAACUCUCUCAAAAUAAAGAAUAAGAUCAGCUGUAUCAAGAUGCCACCCUGACCACUCCGAACGUUUCCACAUAACUAAAGGCAUAUGUUCUCUAUCACACCCGUUGACUUGUCAUAGUUCAGUAAUCACAUUGUUCCACUUCUCUUUAUUACUCAAAUCUUCCAAAAUAACUCGUUAUGCCAAAAUGUAUCAUGAAUUGUAUUGUAGCAUGGGGUUGAUGUAGAAUGAAGUUUCCAUCCAUGUUCCAAAAGGGUUGCAUUGCCCAAUGAGGAAAAUAAUAUACUGGAUUAUAAAAAAGUGACCAUAAUAUUUGAUAAUCCAGGUAAAGUUAGAUGUUCACCCCAAUUUUCAGGGACUAUGAGUAGGGGUUAUAGAUACUUACUUGCAACCCGGGUAGCAAACAAAUUUUAUUUAUUAUUCAUUGGUCAUGAAUCCUAAACCAACUUAAAAUUCCUUCAAAUUGGUUUGCCGCCGACCCAUUUUUGGGUUAACGUCACAUAGAUUGAAGUAGUCCCAAAGUAAUUGUUUAUUGAUGUUCAUGGAUAUGACUUGAUUCACAAAGGUAAAACAAGAAACACAAGGCUUUUUUGGACAAUUGGUUGUAUUUAUUGGCCUCAAAAAUUUUAAGGAAAGGUUUAUCUGGGUGAAUUUAUCCUACUUUUUACUUGGUGGGACAGAAGCCAAAAGGAUGAAAAGCUAGAUUUUUAUUUUAUACCGAUCAUUUCCAACUCCUCUCCUCAAUGUUAUAGGGAAGUUACAUCUAUUGGUCUAAAAAAUUUUCUUUACCAGGAAAGCUCAUCUCUAAGCUAGAAUCCACCUUCUCAAAUUUUCUAUGGUCGGGUCCAUCUCUUGAAAAGAAAAUGCAUCUUAUUUCAUGAGAUGCUAUUUGCAAACCAAACCAAGAAGGAGGCCAGGAAUAAAGUGCAUCAAGAACGUGAAAUGGCCAAAAUUAUGAAGCAAGUGUGGUGGAUAGCUGCAAAAAAAGGUCGUUGUGUCAAAUGGGUGUAACAGGUACUUGAAACAAGAUUCAAUUUGGAUAAUGAAGAUCACUUAGAAAUCUUCAUGGGUGUUAAGGAAAAUUUUGAAGUAUAGGGGUAAGGUUGAGCGUUAUAUUCAGAACUUCAUUGGGGUUGGUAGCUCAGCUUAUCUUUAGUUGGACAAAAGGCAUCCUUUCGGAGUACUAAUUAAUAGAUUUGGAAACAAAAUUUGCAAUGAUGCAGGUUUUGGUCGUCCUGCCAUGGUGAAGUAUAUUAUGAGAGAUGGUGAUCGAUACAUUGGUCUCCUUUCUCCUUUGGAUUUUAUAGAAGCCUAGAGGGAGUUAUCGAACUUAAGGAAACUCUAUCAUGCUGAUAACGAUUUGGUGGUUUGGACAGGUUUGGAUGAGGUGUUGUCCAUCCUUGCCAUGGAGUUGCUUGAAAUUCAAACAGGGAUUUGUAUAUGUGUUGACAAAGGCUUCCUGGAGGUGUCUAUCCGGUCUAAUUCCAUGUUAGCAGUUGAUAAUCUUAAUAGUGAGAUAUGUGGCCCUUGGAGUAUGUAAGUCUUUAAGAGAAGAAAUUUGCAUCUUUGUUCCAUGCUUAGCUGUAAGGAGAUUAUACAUGUUCAGAGAGAGAAAAACCAGCCAGCAGAUUUAUGAGCCUCAUUUGCCACAUCUAUUGUUGAAGUAUCUUGUACCCACCCAAUAUCCCAGAUUAUCUUCAAAACCUUAUAAAAGGGGAUGUUGACCAAGUUACCUACUUUUGGAUAUAAUUUUUUUUCUAUAUUAUUUAUGCUCUAGAUUUUGUUA